rnacentral:rRNA from 1 species
AGUGGGGGAUAACGUAGCGAAAGUUACGCUAAUACCGCAUAUGCCCUGAGGGGGAAAGGAGGGGAUCGCAAGACCUCUCGCUUUCGGAGUGGCCGAUAUCGGAUUAGCUAGUAGGUGAGGUAAAGGCUCACCUAGGCGACGAUCCGUAGCUGGUCUGAGAGGACGACCAGCCACACUGGGACUGAGACACGGCCCAGACUCCUACGGGAGGCAGCAGUGGGGAAUUUUGGACAAUGGGCGCAAGCCUGAUCCAGCCAUGCCGCGUGAGUGAAGAAGGCCUUCGGGUUGUAAAGCUCUUUCAGCUGGAAAGAAAUCGUAUCUAUUAAUACUAGGUGCGGAUGACGGUACCAGCAGAAGAAGCACCGGCUAACUACGUGCCAGCAGCCGCGGUAAUACGUAGGGUGCGAGCGUUAAUCGGAAUUACUGGGCGUAAAGCGUGCGCAGGCGGCUUUUUAAGCCAGAUGUGAAAUCCCCGGGCUUAACCUGGGAACUGCAUUUGGAACUGGAAGGCUAGAGUGUAGCAGAGGGGGGUAGAAUUCCA